rnacentral:lncRNA from 1 species
AGUUUGCAGGUGCCGAUGAAACCGUGCAGGUGAUGCAACCAAGCUCAAUGGGGAGCCCGAUGAAGAUCUCGUUCAUUUUGUUGUUCCGUUUGUCAGUUGAUCAGUAGUGGAGCCCAGUUGGGAUGAUCGGGGAUCUGUGUAGCAUUUGGGGUAGUCUUCUUUUAUUUUGGUUCCGUAGUCAGACCUUGAUUGUAUCUGGUUGAUGUAAUGCUUUAUUCAUGUAUUAUGUGAAGUGGCGAUUGUAAGCCAACUAUGUACCUUUUUUCCUUGUUCAUUACAUGGGUUGUGUGAAGAUUACCUCACUUGCGACAUUGCUUACAAUGCGGUUAUGCCUCUAAGUCGUGCUUCGACACGUGGGAGAUAUAGCCGCAUCAUGGGCGUUACAAGUUCGUAUCAGAGCCUUCCCCGACCUUAGGAGCCCCCUGCUUGAUCGAAUCGCUGGUGUUGUUGAGUCUAGAAAAAUGUUUUGAGUCAUUUAGGAUUAUAUAUAUCGGAGAGUAGGAUUCUUUUUACUCCUCAGUCCCUUCGUCGCUCUGGUGAGGCAUCCUGGCGUAGAGUUUUGACUCUUCUCUUCUCAAAUUUCACUAAAAAAAUUUAGGAUCACACGGGUAUCUUGGAAUCGUUCCGAUGGUUUUGUGACGAGAACAUUGUUCUUGGUGCCUCCUGACAUUUAGGGGUUGUGGCAGUGUCCCGGGGAGUUGAGCUCCGAGGUGUUGUCGUUGCAAUUUUAUCGUUGCAAUUCUGGAAUACCUGAGUCCCGGGGAGUUGAGCUCCGAGGUGUUGUCAUCACAAUUUUAUCAUAUGUUUGUUCCGGCUUUUUCUGCAAGACAAUCCUUGUUUUGUUUUGAGUUGUCAUAUUCGAGUUGCUUCAAAGUCAAAUGUUGAUUCCAUACCUUCCCUAAGUGGUGUUCUCAUGUUCCUAUGUGAAUACUAAUCCUUCUCGAUCAUCGAGAUUGUCAUGUCAAUCCGUUUCAAUCGGUGUGCUCCUCUUCAACUGAUCCUAUCAUCUUUCAACAUCCACAAGAUCAACUCAAGUCUUCUCAUUGUUGUUUAUUUCAUCCAUCUCCAUGUUGCCUUUGUUUUUCCCGCCCUCCCACCCUUUUUCUUCGAGGACUCAUAUUUCUAAAUCAACUAUCCAUUUUAUUCAUGUGAAGCCUCUUCAUCCUUUUCUUUCAAGUUUUUGAUCCAGUGAUUUAUCAUGGAGAUUCUAAUGGAGCUUCAAGUUCAUCAUUCGUCAUUUUUUUUCUUCUCUGGUGGAUUCAAUUAAAGCUUUCUCGAUCAUAUCAUUUCCUCGGUUCAAUGCUUUCUCAUACCAGUGCACCUCUUAAUCGCUCAUCUCUCUUUAUUCAUAUCCGAAGUGCUGAAGAUAUCUCUGAAGAUUCAAGUUCCCAUUCUCAAUUCGUUCAAACUAUCUCAAGGUUGUUAUCUUAUUCAAGCCAUUUAACUCAACCGGUGCAAUCUUUCUUUUAAAUCAUUUCAAUGGUGUUUCUUUUGAGUCGGCCCUAACCCACAGGUCUUUUCCUAGGAUCUUACCUGACUCUUCUUAUUUUACUGGAGAUUUUCUCAAAUUCUUUUCCAAGUUUGACGUAAGAAUGAAUCAUCAUCAGUCAAAUGUCUUUCUCAAAGAUCUUCCAAACUCUUUUUACCGUUGUCUCAACCUUUAAAUUCGUCAUCCCGGAGUAUCUCAACAAUUCAUGGUGAUGUAUAUCAUCAUUCUCAACAUUUGAAGACCGAAGAAGAAUUUUUCCUCCUUAUCUUGAUCCAUUCUCUUCAAGACUCAUGGCUCUAGCUUCGUGCCAUCCUCUCAUAAUUGUUUUCGAUUGUGAGAAUUCUUUUCACCCACCGGAAGAAUUUCAUAAGUUGUUUCCAUUUCUUUCCUCCGAAGGCCAUCUUUUCAAAUAUCAUUCAUUCUAGCUUUCAGCUCCUGUUUCUCCAAAUCUUACCGGUGCAUCGUUCAAGUGAUCUCUAAUCAGCUCGUGAUCUCUUCGUUCUCAUGUAUCAAAUUUUUCACUAAAGUAUCUUCAUUCGUUCUCUUAUUCUUACCAGUGAUUCAUUCCUUUACUUCGUUCGUUUUUCAAUUCUUACGGUGGUUCCCCCAAGAUUCUUCUUCCUUUGUGUAUCAUAUCAAUUUAUUCGUUCUUUCAAAUCCUAACGGUGGUUCGUGGAAGACAUUCUCAAGUUUAUGGUAUAUCUCUCUUAAUCUUUUCUACGAGAAUAAGUAAUAUGCCAAAUCCAUUGCUUGUCAUCAAUCCAAAUUGGUGAAGGAUAAGCAUAAUGUAAUUCUUAUUCUUGUUUCAUCGACUAAAUUCAAUUCCUUAUUCUGGAGGUCCAUCAAAUUCUUGAUUCCAUUUGUUCAUCUUUCUUUUCCGGAGUUCCAAGUUUUCACUUUAUCUCGUCGGAAAGAUUCAUCAAAAUCAUCGCAAGGCCUCACCUUGUGUUCUCUACUUCACUUACUUUCGUUUGAUCAUCCUUUUGUUUACCGGAGUUCUUCAUGGAGGCUCUACCUGAUGGUUCAUCAAGAAUUUAAUUCCUUCUCGAAGUUUUCAUUGAGAUUCUUUUCUAAGGAGCUCAAGUUUUCUUCAUCUUGCAAUCCCGAGUGCAAUUCUUUCUACCGUAUCAUUGGAGGUGGUGUUAUGUCAUUCUAGAUAAUUUUCCUUCGUGUUUCAUGAUUCACAAGUUAUCAAGAAUGAGAUAUUUUAAAUCCAUCAAUCUCGUAAUUGGAGUUACCUUGGGUUAUAUUUCACCUAAAGCUUUCCCUAAGGAUUGUUGCUAUUUAUGGUUCUUAUAAAUGAUCCAAGUUCUUCAUUUAUCCUCCCGAUGAAAUAAGUUUCUUGUCUCCUUGUUCAUAUCAAUCCAAUCUAUCGUUUCUGUUAGUGGUGGAAUUUCACCUCAUAGUUUUGGGAUGUCUUCCAUAAGUCCACAUCAAGCUUAUCUUUUCAUUGUUGGUCUUCCAACAACUCCGUUUGACUCUUCUCCUAAGGAUGCCUUUUCAACCUCUUUUGUGGUAUUAUGUCAUUUUCUUCUCAACUCUUUCCUUUCCAACGUUCAAACUUCUAUUCUUUUGUUCCGGAGGCAUUGUGAUGUUGCUCUCUUCUACCCAUCUUCUUGUUUUGUCAGGAUAGUGUUCUUUUCUUUGCUUAUCCAUUCAACUGGAGUGUCGUGUUUUCUUUCGAGCUCUCUCAUCUUAUCAAAUUUUGCAUCCCUUCUCAACCGUACUGCUGUCCAAAUUAUAUCAUUCUUAUUCCUUCUCUAUCUCGUUUUAACCGGAGUGUUGUGGCUAUCAUUCCUCCUCUAACCGGAGUCUCAUCCAAGUGCUUUCAUUUUGCCAAGAUCAUAUUCUUUACCUUCCAUUUUCCAACCGGAGUGUUGUCGUAAUUGAUCCUUAUCGUUCCUUGUACAUCUCGUUUCUACCGGGUGCUUGCAUGUACUCCUUGUCCAUUGCAACCCUUUUCUUAUGUCUUUCAACCUACAAGGUUCUAGUAAGGUUCCCUGUCCCUCUUAUCUAACAGAGUGUUUUCAAUUUUGUUCAUCUCCAUUGCAUUUUUUCUUUCAAUUUGUUCAACCUCUCAAGGUUUGUGGUUUCACUCGUUUGUCAAACAAGCAACUUAGUUUUACCUCUUCUCUUGCUCUUCCAUUUUUCCCUCUGGUGCCAUUCUAGAUCUCGGGACGAGAUCCUCUCGUAGUGGUGGAGUGUUGUGACGGCCCGAGACCAUUGCGCCAGGUGUCUUCCAGUUAUUCGCUGUAGUUGCCAUGUCAUUCGCUUGCGUGUUGCAUCUUGUCAUGUCAUCAUGUGCAUUGCAUCAUCAUGUUUUCAAAACUUGCAUCCGUCCUGGUCUCCCCGUUCUUUCUGUUGCCCGUUCUGAGCCCAGUCACGCUUGCACGCGCCUGCGGCAUGUCAGAAAUAGUAUUUUAUAAGUGGCCGGAAAAUGUUCUCAGAAUGGGUUGAAAGUUGGCGUGUGGUCUUAUUUUAGUGUAGGAACACCGCCUGUCAAAUUUCAUCGUGUUUGGAGUCCGUUUGAUAGCCCAACUGUUAACUAUAGCGGCAUUAUAGCCGGUCUAACGUCGGACGUUUUCGGUCUCCGGAAAUAGUCGCCGGGCCUCUUCUCUUCUCUUCUCUCAGCCUGAGGCCUUCUGCACAGUCCUCUACCCACCACCAGGACCAACCUAACCUCUCUCGUCAGCCCGCGACCCUCCCCUCGCGCGCGUCCGGAAGUUGUCCCGAACCCGACCCGGGGAGUCAUCACCGUUGGGUCCGGAUCAUCCCCAAACAUCUACAAAACAUCUCCGUAUUUCCUUUUGGACUCCCUAGCCAUUUUUUUCCUGAUCGUCCGAUUUCGACCAUUGGGUCCAGAUAGCCCCUAACCACAUCCACUCGCUAUAUAUUUUAGCCUAGCCCGAGACCAAAUCCCUAAUUUUUAGGGAUCCUUCCAGCCGCCGCCGCCCUCAUUUCCCACCUCGGGAUCCUCUCGUUCCCCCUGCACCAGCCAUCAGCCACACCCAGAUCCAAUCCAUCCAUCCCAUCGAUCCAUCUCGAGUCAACGACCGCCGGCGCUCUAAUCCCGCAGGAGCCCGAGCCCCCGCAAGCCCCUGCUCCGCUCCUCCGUCCUCGCCGUUGGCCCCGGUGGCGCCGCCCCUCGCAGGUCAUCCGGUGUGCCCCUGCUCUUCCUUCUUAUUCCCCAUCCCGUUCUUCUCUCAGUGCUCUCUCUCUCUCGUGUAGGAGGACAGCCAUGGGAGCACCUCGAGGAGCAACACCGCAGUAGCCUCGUCCUUACGCCAUCACCAUCUCCGGCAAGAUUCGACGAGCAGCGACGAAUCCGACCUCCUCACGUUCCCCUGCUUCAGAUCUGGUGCUCCACACCCCUUCCUUGCACCUACGGCCUCCCGCUCCUCGCCAUGACCGCACAGGUUCAAGCUCCGCCGCCCGUUGCUGUUCAUCACGCCGCCCCGUGCUCCAACUGCCGGGAACCGGCUCCUCAUCAUCAAGACCUCCUGGAUCCGCCCGCCUCCGCCAGUCCCUGACCUCGCCGGAGCCACUUCCCGCAGUGCCGUCAUCCUCAUCGCCGGCAACCACUGCGCCCCGAACCUGUCUCUGCUUCCCGCUUGCGUUGACCGCGCCCCUCCUUUGUUCGAUCUCCUAUGCGAGGCCGAGAGCUCCAGUCGGCCUGCUUUGCCUCCAACCUGGGCCUCGGCCCAUGGGUGAGAAGCCCUAGCACCUCAUGUUUUUUUCCUUUUCCCCGCUGGUUGGGCCGGCUAGUUUCAGCCCACAUCAUAUUUUUUCAGUUCUGAACGUUUUAGUAUUUAUCCGGAGACUGUAGUUUUUACAGAAAACCCCCCAAGCUUCAUGCAUUUAAUAACUUCACAACCGUGCAUCCGAUCGAAAUAAAUUAUAUACGAAAGUUGCUUAGAAUUUUAUCUACUUUAAUAAUAUUCAACUUUCAUGCAUGUUUGAAAUGUUUAAAAUGUUGUUUGGUUAAAUUUUCUCCUAUGCCAAGUUAAAAUCCUUUAUUUCAUAACUAAAUAACCGUAGCUCGGUUUUAAAUAAUCUUUAUACGUAAAUGGGGUAGAAAAAUGCAUAGUUGAACAUGGUGGCAUCCCUUUGCAUGUUUAACAACUAUAAAAUAUGGUUUAGGACAGAACAGUACCAUAACCAAAUAUAUGCACAUGAGGAUUUCCCGGACCUGUUGCUUGUUGUUCCGGCCUCAUUUAAACUUGCCUAGAUAGGUAGUUUUCAUUUGCUUCACCCCUUGCCAUGUUAAGAACAUUUAAUAUUGUUGGGUUCAUAAACAAGAUCGAACUAAAUAAGUCACGUGGUGUUUCGUCAAUAUGCAAUGGAGUUGCAUAUUGAGCUCCACUUAACUUGUAGGAUUGUUUGUGCACUUUGCCAUGCCAUGCCUCAUUAAACUGGACAUGCAUCAUACUUGGUUAUGCAUCAUGCCAUGCUUAUGUGGUGGUUGUUUACUUUGUUGUUUGCUUCUUUUCGGUGUUGCUUCUUCGGCUUGGUUCUCGUAACGUCGCGUUUGUGAGGAUCCGUUCGACUAUGUCCGUUUGUCUUCUUCAUGGACUCGUUCUUCUUCCUUGCGGGAUCUCAGGCAAGAUGACCAUACCCUCGAAAUCACUUCUAUCUUUGCUUGCUAGUUGCUCUCUCUAUUGCUAUGCCUAUGCCGCGAUACCUACCACAUGCUUUAUCAUGCCUCCCAUAUUGCCAUGUCAAACCUCUAACCCACCUUGUCCUAGCAAACCGUUGUUUGGCUAUGUUACCGCUUUGCUCAGCCCCUCUUAUAGUGUUGCUAGUUGCAGGUGAAGAUGAAGUUUGUUCCUUGUUGGAACAUGGAUAUUUUGUUGGGAUAUCACAAUAUCUCUUAUUUACUUAAUGCAUAUAUAUACUUCGUAAAGGGUAGAAGGCUCGGCCUUAUGCCUGGUGUUUUGUUCCACUCUUGCCGCCCUAGUUUCCAUCAUACCGAUGUUACGUUCCUUGAUUUUGCGUUCCUUACGCGGUUGGGUUAUAAUGGGAACCACUUGACAGUUCGCCUUGAAUAAAACUCCUCCAGCAAUGCCCAACAUUGGUUUUACCAUUCGCCACCUAGCAUUUUCUUUCCCUUGGGUUCUGCAGACUCAAGGGUCAUCUUUAUUUAAACCACCGGGCUAGUGCUCCUCUGAGUGUUGGUCCAACUUGUCAGCCUCUGGUGGCUACCAGGGGCAACUCUGGGCUGGCCUACCAGAAGUUUGGACAAUCCGGUGUGCCCUGAGAACGAGAUAUGUGUAGCUCCUAUCGGGAUUUGUCGGCACAUCUGGGUGGCUUUGCUGGUUUAGUUUUUACCAUUGUCGAAAUGUCUUGUAACCGGGAUUCCGAGCCUGAUCGGGUCUUCCUGGGAGAAGGAAUAUCCUUCGUUGACCGUGAGAGCUUGUGAUGGGCUAAGUUGGGACACCCCUGCAGGGUUUUGAUCUUUCGAAAGUCGUGCCCGCGGUUAUGGGCAGAUGGGAAUUUGUUAAUGUCCCGUUGUAGAAAACCUGAAACUUAACUUAAGUAAAAUGCAUCAACCACGUGUGUAGCCGUGAUGGUCUCUUUCCGGCGGAGUUCGGGAAGUGAACACGGUGUUGGAGUUAUGCAUGAACGUAGGUUGUUCUAGGAUCACUUCUUGAUCAUAGUUCAUCAAUCGUGCCUUUGACUUCUCUUCUCGCUCUCAUUUGCGUAUGUUAGCCACCAAAUAUGCUAGUCGCUUGCUGCAGCUCCAUCUCAUACCUUUUCCCUACCCAUAAGCUUAAAUAGUCUUGAUCUCGAGGGUGUGAGAUUGCUGAGUCCCCGUGACUCACAGAUACUUCCAAAACUAGUUUGCAGGUGCCGAUGAAAUCGUGCAUGUAACGCAAUCGAGCUUAAGGGGGAGCCCGAUGAAGAUCUCGUUCAUUUUGUUGUUCCGUUUGUCAGUUGAUCAGUAGUGGAGCCCAGUUGGGACGAUCGGGGAUCUGUGUAGCAUUUGGGGUAGUCUUCUUUUAUUUUGGUUCCGUAGUCGGACCUUGACUGUAUCUGGUAGAUGUAAUGCUUUAUUCAUGUAUUGUGUGAAGUGGCGAUUGUAAGCCAACUAUGUACCUUUUUUCCUUGUUCAUUACAUGGGUUGUGUGAA